rnacentral:rRNA from 1 species
UGCGAAUGGCUCAUUAUAUAAGUUAUCGUUUAUUUGAUAGUAUCUUGCUACUUGGAUAACCGUGGUAAUUCUAGAGCUAAUACAUGCUAAAAAUCCCGACUUCGGAAGGGAUGUAUUUAUUAGAUUAAAAACCAAUGCCCUCUGGGCUCUCUUGGUGAAUCAUGAUAACUUCUCGAAUCGCAGGGCCUUGCGCCGGCGAUGGUUCAUUCAAAUUUCUUCCCUAUCAACUUUCGAUGUUUGGGUAGUGGCCAAACAUGGUUGCAACGGGUAACGGAGGGUUAGGGCUCGACCCCGGAGAAGGAGCCUGAGAAACGGCUACUACAUCCAAGGAAGGCAGCAGGCGCGCAAAUUACCCAAUCCCGAUCCGGGGAGGUAGUGACAAUAAAUACUGAUACAGGGCUCUUUUGGGUCUUGUAAUUGGAAUGAGUACAAUUUAAAUCCCUUAACGAGGAACAAUUGGAGGGCAAGUCUGGUGCCAGCAGCCGCGGUAAUUCCAGCUCCAAUAGCGUAUAUUAAAGUUGUUGUGGUUAAAAAGCUCGUAGUUGAACCUUGGGCCUGGCUGGCCGGUCCGCCUCACCGCGUGCACUGGUCCGGCCGGGCCUUUCCCUCUGUGGAACCCCAUGCCCUUCACUGGGUGUGGCGGGGAAACAGGACUUUUACUUUGAAAAAAUUAGAGUGCUCCAGGCAGGCCUAUGCUCGAAUACAUUAGCAUGGAAUAAUGAAAUAGGACGUGCGGUUCUAUUUUGUUGGUUUCUAGGACCGCCGUAAUGAUUAAUAGGGACAGUCGGGGGCAUCAGUAUUCAAUUGUCAGAGGUGAAAUUCUUGGAUUUAUUGAAGACUAACUACUGCGAAAGCAUUUGCCAAGGAUGUUUUCAUUAAUCAGGAACGAAAGUUAGGGGAUCGAAGACGAUCAGAUACCGUCGUAGUCUUAACCAUAAACUAUGCCGACUAGGGAUCGGACGAUGUUAUUUUUUGACUCGUUCGGCACCUUACGAGAAAUCAAAGUGCUUGGGCUCCAGGGGGAGUAUGGUCGCAAGGCUGAAACUUAAAGAAAUUGACGGAAGGGCACCACCAGGGGUAAACCUGACCUGUGAAGCCGCAGUCAACUCUGCUCCAGAAAGCCGCCCGAAAGGGUCGGUGGUGUUCCUAGGGGAGAGCUCUCCCCUAAACUAAUGGCUAGUCCUGCCGCCCGCGGCAGGGCGACACCCUCAAACUGACGGGGAACUCCUAAAGCCCUCGCUCCGGACAGGCGUCGGGAAACCGACGGCCUGCUCACCAGGCUAACGACCUCGGGUAUCGGAAGCAACGCGAGAGGAUGCUACAAUGGACAAUCCGCAGCCAAGCCCCUACGGUGCGGCCUCUACGGGGGUCGCAUACGGGGAAGGUUCAGAGACUUGACGGGGGUGGGUGGCGCGGGCUCUUGGGGUGCAAGCCGCGUGCUUGCUUGCAGGCCCAGGCGCCCGCCGCUGCCUAAGAUAAAGUCCGGGCGUGCGCGAAAGCGUGCGCGGCAACCACGCAACCCGCCGUUUCCAGCGGGUGCGAGGCCCCAGAAGUAAAAACAACCGGGAGCCUGCGGCUUAAUUUGACUCAACACGGGGAAACUCACCAGGUCCAGACACAAUGAGGAUUGACAGAUUGAGAGCUCUUUCUUGAUUUUGUGGGUGGUGGUGCAUGGCCGUUCUUAGUUGGUGGAGUGAUUUGUCUGCUUAAUUGCGAUAACGAACGAGACCUUAACCUGCUAAAUAGCCCGUAUUGCUUUGGCAGUACGCCGGCUCUUAG